rnacentral:rRNA from 1 species
UGGGGAAUAUUGGACAAUGGGCGAAAGCCUGAUCCAGCCAUGCCGCGUGUGUGAAGAAGGUCUUCGGAUUGUAAAGCACUUUAAGUUGGGAGGAAGGGCAGUUACCUAAUACGUGAUUGUUUUGACGUUACCGACAGAAUAAGCACCGGCUAACUCUGUGCCAGCAGCCGCGGUAAUACAGAGGGUGCAAGCGUUAAGCGGAAUUACUGGGCGUAAAGCGCGCGUAGGUGGUUUGUUAAGUUGGAUGUGAAAUCCCCGGGCUCAACCUGGGAACUGCAUUCAAAACUGACUGACUAGAGUAUGGUAGAGGGUGGUGGAAUUUCCUGUGUAGCGGUGAAAUGCGUAGAUAUAGGAAGGAACACCAGUGGCGAAGGCGACCACCUGGACUAAUACUGACACUGAGGUGCGAAAGCGUGGGGAGCAAACA